rnacentral:lncRNA from 1 species
UUAUCCUUUUUUUUUUUUUUUUUUUUUGGUUCUUUUUUUCGGAGCUGGGGACCGAACCCAGGGCCUUGCGCUUCCUAGGUAAGCGCUCUACCACUGAGCUAAAUCCCCAGCCCCCCAGAUUAUCCUUAAAUCAAAAUGGUUCAUGUCACAUCCAGAGUUUACUUGGCUUCCUUGACUUCCAAAAGAUGUUGACGCUUUCCGUUGCAAAGUUUCUCUCAAAGGCCAGGCUUGCUGCCUCAACCACAAUGCAGACCUCCAGUGACUUCGCCUCAGAGGAGGCUCCGCCCUCCCUUAUCAGAGUGGUUGAUGUGAUAAGGAAAAAAAAGAGGUCUUUUUGCCUUUCCGGAAGUUCACUGAAGCCCCGGCUUAAUAGAGCUCAGAAAAGGGUAACGCAUGCUGACCUUUCCCACCAGGAAGUCCUGCUCCAGCUAUGAGCAGACUCACAGGGUUCUAGAGGGUAAUGGGAUUGGAAGAGAGGCAGCCUCUGUUUCAGUGCCCUGGGCUGAAAAGUGCGAAGGAGAAUAUUCUUUGUAUUCCGAGGUCUGCUUGCUUGGCAGUGGAGGGGUCGCUGCCGGUGUUAAGUCAGGAGGUCUCCUGCAGAUUUUCUUGAUUCAAAUCCUUCGUUCAGAAUGGGGUUUCUUAAAAUUUCCCCACUAACAGCCCCUUCUCAGUGCAAGAAACUUUUACAAGGCCCUGAG